rnacentral:rRNA from 1 species
AUGUCUUCUCCAAGCUCCCGCGCCACCUCGCGGAUGAAGAGCCCGGCGUGCGUGGAGAUGCCUAUCUUCGUCUGUCCAUGGUGCGUGGCCGUUGAUAGGAGGUUUUCUCACACAUUGAGGAACCAUAAUCAUCUGUUCAAUGUGUGCAACGAAAAUGGGGUGAAAUGUUUCUUCCUUUGGGUCGAUGCUCUGACCAAGACUCUGAUGAAUGAACUGCAAGAAGAGAAUGAAAAAUAGUUGUGCAUGCUGCCACGAAUGACAGUAGCCGCAGCACGAGCUCCAGAAGAAGAGAUGGAGGGCGAAGCACGCACUGACAGAGAGCUAGAUGUUGCUAUUGAUCUUAGGAUGUUGAAGAAGGUGGUUAGGAAGCUUGAAGAUCAAGCACAAAUACCCAUUUGCAGUUACUUUUGGGCAUUUGUAGCUAUGGUAAUCGCGGGUGUAAUGUUGAAAUUGUACGGAAAGACAUGA